rnacentral:rRNA from 1 species
UACGAAGGGGGCGAGCGUUGUCCGGAAUUAUUGGGCGUAAAGAGCUCGUAGGCGGUUUGUCGCGUCGAAUGUGAAAACCCGGGGCUCAACUCCGGGCCUGCAUUCGAUACGGGCAGACUAGAGUUCGGUAGGGGAGACUGGAAUUCCUGGUGUAGCGGUGAAAUGCGCAGAUAUCAGGAGGAACACCGGUGGCGAAGGCGGGUCUCUGGGCCGAUACUGACGCUGAGGAGCGAAAGCGUGGGGAGCGAACAGG